ACGGCUGGUGUUCAUCCCAAUUGUGAAUAGAAAAUCCAGUGCGCGAUCUAAUGAUCCAAAAUCAAUCUAGAGUCUGAUCGGAUGGCUGUUAUCAUCCCCAACUUAGAGAAGAACUACACGCUAUUUUUUUUAUUAGAUCUAGGUGGUCCAAGUGAGAUCCGACGGUCAGAAAAAAAUCAUACAAGUAUAAUACGAGUUUUAAGGGUUUUGGGACUCCUUUUACUGUCAGA
rnacentral:lncRNA from 1 species